CGAGAAGAAACACAAACAUACACAAACAUGGCGACACAGCAGACGUGCAGGAUGCUCUCGCUCCGCCGCUGCGCUGUUUUUCUGCUGCUCUGGUUCGUCCCCGGCAGCUUUUCGGACACGCUCCGUCUUCACCAGGACCCGCGCUUCAUGCUGCCCCAGGACCGGGGCUUUUCUCUGGUCAGCGCCUCCGCCGGGCUCUUGGAGAGCUCAGCGGGGGGAGCGGCUGGAACAUACCCCGGGCAGAGAGCACGCAGCCGGCGGAGCGCCGCCGAGAGCCCCGCUAUGACCAGGGUCUACGGGCGGGCCAACCUGAAUGAUUCACAUAACCAGAUGGUCGUCCACUGGGCUGGAGAGAAGAGCAACGUCAUUGUAGCUUUAGCCAGAGACAGCGUUGGAGCAGCUGACCCCAAGAGCAGCUCGGUCUACGUAUCCUAUGACUAUGGAACCACCUUCAGCCACAUAUCGGAGAUGUUUAAUCUGUCUGGUGGGAAGGAGAACAGCAAGCAGGUCAUCUCCCAGUUCUACCACAGCCCUGCUGACAACAAACGGUACCUUUUUGCGGACACCACCAACAGUUACCUGUGGAACACUUUUGACUUCUGCAAGAGCGUCCAGGGCUUCUCCAUCCCUUUCAAGCCCACAGAUCUGCUCCUGCACAGCAAGAGACCCAACCUGGUGCUGGGCUACGACAGUUCCCAUCCUAAUAAGCAGCUUUGGAAAUCAGAUGACUUUGGCGAGACGUGGGUGCUGAUUCAAGAGCAUGUCAAGUCCUACUUCUGGGGAGUGGAGCCGUACGACAGCCCCACCACAGUGCUCGUCCAGAGACACGAACCUCAAGGCAUCUCCAGCAUCCUCAGCAGCACCGACUUUUUCCAGAGCGAGCAGAAUCGCCGCAUCAUCCUGGAGAGGGUGGACAGUUUUCAACUCCGAGACAAAUACAUGUUCGCCACGACCACCAGGCCGCUGCUGGGAAGCCAUGAGCCACAAUCUGUCCAACUGUGGGUCUCCUACAACAGACAGCCAAUGAGGGCCGCCCAGUUUAACACCCGCCACCCAAUCACUGAGUACUACAUAGCGGAUGCUUCAGAGGAUCAAGUGUUUGUGUGUGUGAACCACAACAACAACGUCACACACCUGUACAUCUCAGACACUCAGGGCCUGGCCUUCUCUCUCUCGCUGGAGAACGUUCUGUAUUACAGCCCUGAGGGCUCCGGCAGCAACACCCUCAUCAGGUACUUUGCCAGUGAGCCGUUUGCUGAUCUGCACCGUGUGGAGGGUCUGCGGGGGGUGUUUGUUGCUACGCUGAUUAACGGUUCUCUCAGUGAAGAUAACAUGCGGUCGGUCAUCACCUUCGAUAAGGGGGGAACCUGGGAGCUGCUGCAGCCCCCCGCUGCCGACAGCCUCGGAGGAACUAUUAACUGCCAGAUCUCUAAGGGCUGUUCUCUGCACCUGGCUCAGCGCUGGAGUCAGCUGUUGAAUAUUCAGUUGAGGAGGAUGCCCAUCCUGUCUAAAGAGUCGGCACCUGGCCUCAUCAUGGCAACAGGAUCUGUGGGGAAGAAUUUGGCCAACAAGCCCAAUGUGUACGUGUCCAGCAGUGCAGGAGUCCGGUGGAGAGAGGCUCUGGCUGGUCCUCACUUCUACACCUGGGGUGACCAUGGAGGCAUACUGAUGGCCAUCAGCCAAGGCGGCUCCACCAAAACACUCAAGUUCAGCACUAAUGAAGGUGAGACCUGGACCGAGUUCCAGUUCUCUGAGCAGGAGGUCUACGUGUACCAGCUGCUGACGGAGCCGGGAGAGAAGAGCACCAUCUUCACCAUCUUCGGCUCCUACGCCGACCAGAAGCACAGCUGGCUCAUUCUGCAAGUCAAUGCCACCGAUGUGCUCGGCGUGCCGUGCACUGACGGAGACUAUAAGCACUGGUCCCCGUCUGAUGAGCGUGGGAACGGGUGUCUGCUGGGUCGAGAGCUGGUGUAUAAGCGGCGCACACCUCACGCCACCUGCUUUAACGGCGAGGACUUCGACCGCCCCGUCAGUCUGUCCAACUGCUCCUGCACCCGGCAGGAUUACGAGUGUGAUUACGGCUUCAUGCUGACGGAAGACCUGUCUUUGCAAGUUUGCGUCCCUGAUCCAGAGUUUUUAGGCAACCUGUAUGCCCCUCCUGUGCCCUGCCCGGUGGGCACGACCUACCGCCGCAGCAAAGGGUACAGGAAGGUGCCUGGGGACAGCUGCAGUGGUGGAGAUGUGGAAGCCAGGCUGGAUGGAGAGAUGCUGCCGUGUCCUGUUGGAGAGAGUAAUGAGUUUAUUCUCUAUGCGGUGAGGAACUCCAUCCACCGGUAUGAUCUUGCCACUGGUGCUGACCAGCCGCUGCCUCUCUCUGGGCUCCACGAGGCGGUGGCUCUGGACUUCGAUUACGAGAAGAACUGCCUCUACUGGGCCGACAUUUCACUGGAUACUAUUCAGAGGCUCUGUUUGAACGGCAGCACCGGGCAGGAAGUGAUCAUUAGGAAAGACCUUCAGAACGUGGAGGCUCUGACCUUUGACCCCAUCAGCAGACUGCUGUACUGGGUGGACGCUGGUGCUCAGAAGAUUGAGGUAUCAAACUCUGACGGAGAUCUGAGACGCACUCUGGUGAACUCCUCAGUGCUGGAGCAUCCUCGAGCUCUGGCCUUAUUAUCUGGAGAGAGUCUGAUGUUCUGGACGGACUGGGGGGAUCAGGCAGCGGGGGUGUACCGCAGCUGGAUGGAUGGCUCUAAUGUGGAGCGUAUUGUAUCAGACGGUGUUCGAUGGCCGAAUGGCAUCACGGCUGAUGAUCACUGGCUGUACUGGACUGAGGCGUACGGGGACCGUAUUGAGAGAGCUGAUUUCAGAGGGGGGCAGCGCACUGUGCUGAUGGAGGGUCUGCCUCAUCCCUACGCUAUAGCGGUCUUUAAGAAUGACCUGUACUGGGAUGACUGGUCCAGAAUGGGUAUUUUCAAGGCCCCCAAAUCAGGCUCCUCCAACAGCGAGCUGCUGGUGGGCAGACUGACGGGCGUGAUGGACCUCAAGAUCUUCUACAAGGGCAAAACUAGAGGUCACAACGCGUGUGCCGACCAGCCGUGUACCCUGCUCUGCCUGCCGCAGCCCAACCACAUGCAUAGCUGUGUGUGUCCAGACGGAGUCGCCUCCACCACGCUGCCCUCAGGAGAGAUUCAGUGCCAGUGUCCCGCUGGGUAUCAGCUCCACAACAACAGCUGCGUGAAGACGGAACACACAUGCCUGCCGAAUCAGUACCGCUGCUCCAACGGCAAGUGCAUCAGCAGCAUCUGGAAAUGCGACAGCGACAACGACUGUGGAGACAUGAGUGAUGAGCAGGAGUGCCCCACCACCUCUUGUGACCCUGCUGUGCAGUUCCGCUGCGUCGGCUCGGGAUCCUGCAUCCCGCUGGCCUUCAAGUGUGACCACGAGGACGACUGCGGCGACAACAGUGAUGAGGACCACUGCGAGUCACACCAGUGUGGACCAGGGGAGUUUACUUGUGCAAGAGGUGUGUGUAUCCGUGAUGCCUGGCGCUGUGAUGGUGAUAACGACUGCAGGGAUUGGUCGGAUGAGGCCAACUGCACUGUUGGCCACCACACAUGUGAGAGCAGCAGUUUCCAGUGUCAUACUGGUCACUGUAUUCCUCAGCGCUGGGUGUGUGACGGUGAUGACGACUGUCAGGACGGCUCUGAUGAGGAGCCCAGUCACUGCGAAGGUGAACACUGUAAUGGCUUCCUGUGUUCCAACGGCACCUGUCUGCCAGCCAGCGCCCACUGCAACGGCCUGGAGGACUGCCCAGGGGGCACGGACGAGCAGCACUGCGAUCCGCUGUGCACGCGCUACAUGGAGUUUGUGUGUAAGAACAGAGCUCAGUGUCUGUUCCAGUCUCUGGUGUGUGACGGCACAAAGCACUGCGCCGACGGUUCGGAUGAAGACGCCUCUUACGCAGGAUGCUCCACCCAUCCUGAGUUCGAGAAGAAGUGUGAUGCCGACAACUUCCAGUGUGCUAACGGUGUAUGUGUGAGCCUGGACUGGAAAUGUGAUGGCAUGGACGACUGUGGUGACUACUCAGAUGAGGCUAACUGCGUUUCCCCAACUGAGGAGCCAGGCUGCUGGAGAUACUUCCAGUUUGCGUGUAAGAACGGCCGCUGCGUGCCCACUUGGUGGAAAUGUGACGGAGAGAACGACUGUGGAGACUGGUCUGAUGAAUCGCAGUGUACAGAUGGAAUCUCACCGCACACCUCUUCUCCUGGUCCCGUUUCCUGCGCUCCUAACCGCUUCCCCUGUGGUACUGGAGCGUGUAUAGUGAAUAACUGGGUGUGUGAUGGAUAUGCAGACUGCCCCGAUGGCAGUGACGAAGUGGGCUGUCCCACAGCUUCCAACAGCUCUGUGACUCGCUCCCCCCUGUUCACCACUGCACCCGAGCCCGCGGGCCGCUGCACCAGGGGGCAGUUCCAGUGCCGGAAACCUCCCACCUGCAUCCCGGAGUGGCAGCGGUGCGACGGACGCAGACACUGCCAGGAUGGCUCAGAUGAGACCAACUGUCCUACUCACGGUCCUCUGACGUGUGUGAACGGCACUCUGUGUGCUGACGGGGAGGCGUGUGUGAUGGACUCUGAGAGAUGUGACGGUUUCUUGGACUGCUCAGACCACAGUGAUGAAGAUAACUGCACUGCAGACUCUCUGGUUUAUAAAGUCCAGAACCUGCAGUGGAGCGCUGACUUCUCCGGCGCCAUCACGCUCACCUGGUCCCGACCCAAAAACAUGCCCCCUUCCACCUGCUCCUUCAUCAUCUACUACAGGCUGGUGGGGGCUCAGCAGUGGACCACCAUGGACACCCACAGCAACAAGAGCAGCUACACACUGACUGUACUGAGACCAGACACCACCUACCAGGUGAAAGUGGUGACGCAGUGUCUCAGCAAGCAGCACAAAACCAACGAGGUGCUGACCCUCCGCACUCCUGAGGGCUUGCCGGAUCCUCCUCAGGGGCUGCAGCUGGGCUGUGAUAAAGGAGAGGACGGGACUGUGCUUUGCUCCUGGAGUCCCCCGGAUAACACUCACGGCCUCAUCAGAGAGUACAUAGUAGAGUACAGUGAAAAGGGCAGUUCUGAGUGGUUUUCUCAGAGAAGCACCACCACCAGUACCACAGUCAGGAGUCUUCAGCCCAGCUCCCUCUACAGGUUCAGGGUGGCUGCAGUGACCAGUAGAGGAGUGGGAAACUGGACGGAGAUCAAAUCCGUCGUACCUCAGAAAGCUCUGGCACCUCCGGUCACAAAGAUCAUCAGCAUCACAGAGGAUACUCUCACUCUGUCCAUCAGCUCUGAUUAUAAAGUUAAAUACUAUGUAGUGCUCCUCAGCUGGGUCUUCGAGAAGCAUGUGAAAGAAAGCAGGAACUACACAGUCUCAAAAACUUUAAAGGCCACCAAUCUGACCGCAGGUACUCUGUAUGAGGUGUCCGUGUGGUCCCACACCACUGAUGGAGACAGUCCCACCGCCCUGUUCCGUCUGCAGACCGGCGGCUCUCAGCCAGCUCAGCCCUUACUGAAGGCCCGCGCCCUGAACCAGACUGCUGUGGACUGCAGCUGGACCGGACCUCCAGCACAGAUGUAUGGUGUGUUUUACGCCACCUCCUUCCUGGAUCUUUACCGCCGGCCGCAGAGCGUGAACAGCAGCGGCAGCCUGAUCGUCUCUGUGGAGAAUGAUGAGCAGUACCUCUUCCAUGUGAGGGUAAUCGAGCCGUAUCUGGGACCUCCGUCUGAGUCUGUUGUUGUGAAGAUGAUUCCUAAUGAGAGACUUCCUCCUCGAAAUCUGCACAAAGUGAGAGUGGAGAAGACCCAGGCCACGCUGAAGUGGCAGCCGCCAUAUGACACCCCUGGUGAACCUCUGACGUAUGUGGUGCACGUGAGAGACGCGGUGAGGAAAACUGAACGUGAUUAUAAAGUGACGACUCAGAACAACACAGUAGAGUACUGUCUGAAGGGCCUGGAGCCCGGCGGACGCUACAGCAUCACCGUCCGGCUGCGCAACAUGAGCAAGGAGGCCACCUACACCCUCAACACAGUUCCUCUACCACCACCUGAAGCUCUCAAAAUCCUGGCUGAGAAUAACCGUGUGUUCCUCUUCUGGAAGAGUCUGGCUGUAAAGGAGAAAAGCUUUAACGAGAGUCGGGGCUAUGAGAUCUAUGUGCAUGACAGCGUGAGUAACUCCACCACGUGGCUCGGGAACACCACAGAGACGUUUUUCUGGAUCAGCAACCUGCUGCUGGGACACAACUACACGUUCUCAGUGAGGGCCAGCUGCCUGGUGAGCAACCAGCUGUGUGGAGAGUCUGCAGUGCUGCUGUAUGAUGAGCUGGGGUCCGGAGCAGCAGGUAUUAAUGACCCUGCAGCUCAUUCAGCUCGUUCUGGUGACAUGGCUGCGGUGGUGGUUCCGGUCCUGUUUAUUCUGCUGCUGGGUGUGUGUGGGGGGCUGGUGGCUCUGUAUGUGCGGCACAGGCGUCUCCAGCACAGCUUCACCGCCUUCGCCAACAGCCACUACAACUCCCGCCUCGGCUCCGCCAUCUUCUCCUCCGGAGACGAGCUGGGUGAUGACGACGAGGAUGCACCAAUGAUCAGUGGCUUUUCAGACGAUGUUCCCAUGGUGAUAGCGUAGUGAGGCUCUCAGUUCCUGAAGAUCACCCUCUCCUCCAUCUAUCCUCCAUCUCUUUCUCUCCCUCCCUCCAUCCCUCCCUUUCCCCAUCUUACCUCGUUCUUCAGGUGUGUCCUUCCCGGCACGCCGUCCCGCCCCCUCCCGCUUAGGAUUUCAGGAUCCAGAGGAAGAAAGGAGAAAACAAAGUGAAAGAGAUAUUUUUUAAAUCUAAGAUGCACUUUUUUCGGAUGCGCAAUAACUUAUUUUUUUAUAGAUAUUAUACUGUUUGUGGGUGAUGGACUCGGUAGGUGAGAGAGGGAGGAGAAAAAAAAAACGACAAAAGAAAACGGAAGCGAAGCUGUGAAGAAGUUUAUCAGCUGGACUCAGUGAACAGGGAAAAAAGACCCUUUAGUGAAUCACCGACUCACAAACACACUGGACCAUUGCGUGUCUUAAAAAGCCAAAAUGAGCACCUAUACACCGGAUCAUCCAGCGCAAAAAAACAAGAACAAAAUUAUAUAUAUAUAUAAAUAAAUCACACAUGUACAAAUGGAAAUAAAUGUACGAAUGAAUGCUGAUCUCAUUUAAAACAAACAAAAAAAAAACACACAAAAGGGAAAGAGGUACUCGGGCUGUUGACAGUGAAUUGCACAGAAUUUUUGAUUAUGUAUAAUUUUGUUGUGUCACUUUGUCAGUAGACAUGUAGAUUAGACCACGGUACCUUUUAACAUUAUCAUUAUUUUCUAAUUUUCUUUUUUUUGUUUUUAAUCGUCUGUUUAACAUAUCUCUUCAGAACCUGUACAGGUACAUUAUUUCUCUGAUUGUUGAAAAUGUGAAAAACAGUUAUUUUUCAUUAUUUUCUGGCUAUAAUUCUAAAAAAAAAACACUGUAAAGCCCUGUCUAAAUAGGAUUAGUUUUAUGUAAGGAGGUGGAGUUAUGUAUUUUUAAUAUAGGACAUCUACUAAAUAUAUGAUCGAUUUACAAGAGAUACGAAGGCUCUGUAUAAAUUACUAAAAUGGGAGUAGCUACUUGAUUUAUGCAGUCACCUCCAGAAACAUGUGAACUUAUAACCCACUUAUAGUACUGUAUUUUUCACACAUACAUAAGGCACACUGGAUUAUAAGGUGCAUUUUAAGAGACACUAUAAGGAACUUCUUAUUUAGCUGGUCUUGCUAAGCUAAGUAAACAAAACUGUAUUAAAAAAUAAAGUUUAAAAUUAAAGUCUUUUAAAGUUUACUUGGGUGAGUAAAGCUCUUCUGUUUACUUACAGUAAACUUAGUGCUGGAGAAAUCUGCAAAUCUAAGUCUGGAGCAUUAGCGUUAGCAGCUAACUGCUCCAGCAGUGCUAGCCGGGGUUAGCAGCAGGCUACAGUCCAAUAAUACUCACCUCUGAACAGGAAAAGAAUGGUUAGCGGCUAAUGCUAAUGCUACUCCAGCAGGCUUUACUGCUCCUUAAUACCUGACUGAUAGAAUUCAUAUAUAAAACAGAGUGGAUUAUAAAGAGAACUGACAAUUAUUGGAAAAUUAAAGGAUUUUAAGUGCACCUUAUAGUGCAAAAAAAUGUGGAAAUGAUCAAAUGUUAGUUUAAAAAGUAAAAAAAAAAAAUAGCUGCUAGCAUAGAGAUUGGCCUAAGGCCUUAAUAACCCACAUAAUUUGUGCUUCUGUACUUUAGAAAAAAAAAGAAAAAAAAAACUCCUUUUUUUUUUUUUUUUUUUGCAGUUUUUGGCAGAAAAUGACCCAUAUUUUGGUUCACACAGAAUUUAUACAACCUGAGGUGAUUUUUACGGUUCGUUUUACAGAAAUUAAACAGGAUUAAAAUUACUGAGGAUGUCUAAUAAUAUAUAAAUUACUUUUUUAAUACUUUACUCCACCUCCCAAUGUAAAACUAAUCCUAUUCGAACAGGGCUCAAGCCAUAUAAGAAUGACCUGCAGAUGCUUCUCUCUAUCUUGUCAGAAAUUGUUCCCUGGCUUUUGUCAGUUACUGUAUUGAGAAGGUCUUCUGGAGAAACAGAUAGUACAGAACUUCUUUAAAUGGCACUGUUUAUUUUAUUUUAUUUUUUACCGUUGCUUUUUAUUGUUUUGUCUUUUAUUUCCAUCAUGUAAGUAAUGCUGAAACUGUUAGAAGCAUCCCAUUUGCUGUUAAUGUGUCAGUCUUUUGAUGCUCUCAGGGAACUGGGUGUGUGUGUGUGUGUGUGUGUGUGUGUGUAUAAUAUGUGUGUGUACAGCAUUAGGGCAUGGUACCAGCGUUUUGCAGCCUGUGCAGUGGUGUGUGUGUGUGUGUGUGUGUGUGUGUGUUUCUCUCUGAGGCAGUCAAGCAGUACAGUGGCUUUGUGUAAAGCACCAAGGCUUUGUUGCAGCGUCUCGUGCCAAACGGACAGAAAAGUGGAGGAGAGAAAAAGGACAGAUCAGCCUUCAGAGACCACGCUGACCGUGCUGAGUGUUGGAAGUAAUGUGGAAACUGAAGAUCACACUGAUCGUGAAACCCAUCUCCCUCUUCCCUGCAUGCAGAAAUAUCUAUUACCCACGCUGCACCAGGUCCAGGCGUUUAGAUUAGAGUCAGGUACGACGGUUAAGAAUAGACUUUAAUUCACUCAUAUCAUAGCGUACCUGAACUAAAACAAAGCUCAGUUAUGAGGUCACCUAAUCUGCAGCAUCAGCAGUGACCUCACACUUUUUAGUAAUAAUGACCUCAUGUAAUUAAUGACCUCACACUUUCACACAGUAAUUGUUUUAAGUGUUGCUGCAAGCCAAUAAGCUAGCCUCAUCAUCGGGACGUGUGUGAUGAUUAAAGCCCUAUCCGGACGGGAUUAGUUUCUCGGGGGGACGUCUGUUUAAAAAAAAAAUAUAUAUAUAUAUAUUUACUCUUUUACUCAGUGAUAAAACUCUUGCAUCCGGACUAAAAUUGAAAAAAAAAACAGGAGGAACAGUGAGGUUUCUCGGUCACAUGACGUAGCGUUCAGUAGCACCUCCAUUUCCACUCGCUGUUGUGUUUUACAUGGAUUUCCGUGGAAACGCGCAUCCAAAGUGUCAUAGUGUAAUUAUGGUGUGUGGAAGUGGACAAAUUGGUAACACUUUAAGUGUUGACUAACUAACAUGAAUUAAUGCAUUAGUUACCAUGAACAAGACAUGAGGUAAUACAUUAACAAUGCCUAGGUAAUGUCAAUUGAACACAUUACAACAGCAUUAAUUAAUGACACUUUCACUGGAAAUAAAUCAUAAAUCAUAUAUUUUUUUUUAAAUAGUGUUAACUAAUGUUAGUUAAACAACUAAUAACUGCUUUAGUCAGUUUUUUUAGACUUCUUGUCAUUUGCUAACGUACUGCAGUUAUGCAUACAUUAAUUGUUAAAUAUAUUAAUAAAAAAAAUUGUUAUAAAUAUAAUCAGCUGUGAUAAAACUUAUGCAGUGUUAGCCAGUUACUUUUUUAUAUACUAAAGUCCAUUAACUAAUAUAAUAUUUUUUAUUUUUAAAACAUUAAAUGAUUACAGUAUGCAUAACUGCAGUACGUAAGCAAAUGACAAGAAGAUUAACUAAUUCAGUUGCUACUUGUUUACCUAACAUUAGCUAACACUAUUAAUAAAGUAUAUGAUGUAUUAUUCAUCUUAACAAAUGCUUCACUUAUAAUGUCAGUUUAUCUACAUUUCCUGUGAAAUUGAAAUUAAUUAAUUAAUGCUGUUGUAAUGUGUUUAAUUAACAUUAUCUAAGCAUUGUUAAUGUAUUACCUAAUGUCUUGUUCAUGGUAACUAAUGCAUUAAUUUAAUAAUUCAUGUUAGUUAGUCAACACUAAAUGUAAAGUGUUACCAAAGUUAUUUUAUUAAACGCGAGGAGACGAAACUCAGAUGAGAGUCCGGACGGGACUAAAAUUACUGGAGGACCACGAGGAAGAGUUCAGAGAAAAACAGGAGAUAAUUCAGCCUGGUACAUGGUCGUUCUGGACAGGAAUAAAAUCACAGAGGAUAAAAACCCCCAUAAAAGAUAAAAUUACUUAGUCCGGAUAGGGCUUUAGAUGAGUUUGCAUUGCUUUUUGAUUUUCAUUUUUUUUUAUUAUUAAUUUAAUUAAUUUUGUUUCCGGGGGCGGAGCCUUACAGACAGAGCUGUACAGUAACUGUAGGCUAGAAACGGCAGGAGUUUCAAACAAUCUUGUCUCACUUAUUUUAAAUAUGUUUGCCAUGAAUGCCUUAUUAGCAACAGCUUGAGUCGUGUCAGUAAAAUCAUACAUCUUGUUCAUGACCACAGAAAACCACGUGUAAAAACAUGGAAAUGUAUAUUCACCUCUGCUUCAGGCAUUUUGUGUAACAGUGAGGAACUAUGCUGUUUUUAUUUUAUUUUCUUUAUUAAUUGUCUUCACUCACACCAUCUCUGUGGCUCUGUGUGUAAUAACUAAUGUCUAAACUCCACUCGCUGUCUUGUUGUAAAAGUUUUUUUUAAUUUCACAGUAAUGGCAUUGGACACAUUGGCCAUGUAUUGGUUGGAUCCUGCUUGCCUAUGGAGGGAUUUACAGACAUGAAUCUUAUGAAGAGGAACAGUCUGAGGGGUUUUAAGAACCACUUAUACUAAAAUAAACAUGCUGAAACUGUUGAA